UUGUGUAGACUCAAAACAUCACAAAGUUGUGAAUUUAAAUUUAUUUUGAAAAAAGAUAAAUAUUGAUAAGAGUACCCACAAUGAGUCAACUCAAAAAAUGUAUUGUGAUGAUCUUGAUGAUAAUGAUAUUUACGAUACAAGUUGAAGGCAUCACUGAAUCUCAAAAUUUUAAGCCAAAUAAGUCACAAUUUUUAUGUAAACUAAAGUGUGGUUUUAAGUGUUCAUCCCCCAAAGAAAUUGGUCAUUAUGAUAGGUGCAUGUUUGCUUGUAUGGCAGAACACCACUGCAAUGCUUCUUCGCAUGAGUAAUGGUGCUCGUGUGCUUCUAGCGAUAUAUAUCAUGCUAGCGUGCUUACAAACAUUUCUUCAAAUUUGGAAAGUUCUAAUAGUUACUAAAUAAUUUGUAUGUUUGCAUGACGCUAUUUAAUAAAAUGUAAUGAUAAAAAUUGAUAUUGAAUCAAAUUCAAAUAAAUGAAUUUAAAUUUAUCA